AAUAUAUCCAGCAAGCUGAUCCUAUUUAUAAUAUUAAGUGGGAUGUGUCGUAAAGCUAGGAGUCCUGAGUGACACAAAUGUUUAAGCACUUGGUUACUAGCUGAAAGGUUGGCAAUUUGAACCCACCCAGAGGCAGCUUGGAAGACAGCCCUGGCGAUCUGCUUUGGAAAGGUCACAGCCUUAAAAAUCCUACGGAGCACAGUUCAGUUCUACUCUGACAAGCAUGGGGUCUCCAUGAGUUGGAAUCAGUUCAAUGGCAUUUAAUAGCAACAAUCAUAGAGCUAACGGUACAAAGAAAAAAUUACGUUUGGGAGUUGGUGGAAAUUUCCUUAGAAAUUAGAUGUCUAAUUUUCUUCUUUUACAAACGGAGAAACCAAGGCCCAAAGAGGGUGUCUUAGUUAUUUAGACAGAAAUACCACAAAUGGGUGGCUUUCACAAACAAAAAUUUAUUUCCUCACAGGUUAGGAACCUAGAAGUCCAAAUUCAGGGUGCUGGCUCUAGGGGAAGGCUCUAGGUACAAAGACUCAGAGAAAAAGAGAUCGAAAUUGCAUAUCCAACACUUGGAGAAGUAGUUGUCACAGGCGUUGUGGAAUAUUAAAGAGAGCAAUCCAGUCGAGGAGCAGCAUCAAGAUCGAAAGAUAUGUGUGGAAGAGGAGGCAAAGGAGGAGCAGCAGGAAGAGAGGAAGAAAAAAAAAGAAAAAGAAAAGGAAGAACAACACCAAGAACAACAACUCAGUAUUUUUUUCCUGUCACUGAAAAAUCUUUCAAGAAUGCUGGAACUUUCUUAACAGGAAGUAGAAGACGUAGGUGUGAUUGUCUUCUGUGGGACUCCUACAGUUUUCUCCACGGUUUCCACAAGUAUAGAAGUCAGCCUUCUAUCCCAUCCCAACACUCAGUAUUGUUGUAUAUACUGACUAAAUUCAGAGUUUUUAUCAGUGGAGACAACAGAAACCAGAGGCCACAUUGAGCAGAGGACAGAAACCAGAGGCACAUUUACCACAGGGGGCCCUGAAAUGUGUGUUGUCAAAAAGACAGAGAUGUGACCAUGGGGUGUCCCAGCCAGAAGGUUCUUUGUCCAUCUUAGUGGAUGGAUAUUUGACCUACUUGGUUUGUCCAUGCAUCAAGGACGAUGGUUCUGCAUCAGCCCUCACUUCUCACAUACAACUACUUCAGCAGUGGGAAGGCAUACACAUAAUAUGUAGGCCUCUUAAGAGGUAGUUCAAGGCUAAGGCUUAUGGGAGGCAUAUGUGACUGCUUACAUCUCUGGCAUUUUAAAGAACUUUGAAACAAGUGACAUCAUCAUUAGUCUAGAUUUUAUGGGUUAUGAUUUAUGAAAAAUACUAUCUUCUCUCAUACCCAGGCAGAUUUGCAUGCAGUUUAUGCUUCAUUCUUUUUAGGUGUCUGCUGCUUUUGUUUCUCUAAAUCAUUAUGGGCUGUUUUGAGGGAUUAUUAAAUCUACAGAAGGAUUUUUGCACCUUCAGUUUCUGGAAGCGAGAAGAUUUCAGAUAUCAUAUAUGUUAAGAGAGGGUAGGUUUUAUAAAGCAAUAAUGUUGUAAAUUGAGAAUGGGUAAGAUUAUCUCUAAAACCCCUUCUGAGUCUAAUAUUACUUGAUUUGGUAAUCUUGGGUUGACUGCCUCAGAUGGCACCUCCUAAGGGCCAUAUAUUACGCUGGGUGUGACUAGGUAAGGAUAGCCGACAAUAAUGGACAAGGGGUGCCUUAGGCAAAAGGUAGGUGAGCACCCAUUGUCUACCAGAUAUGCAAAAGGAAAUCUGUCUCUUCAGCCUUCAGGCCUUCUCUUGACUUGGAUUCUCACUGCACAUCUCUUUCUCUAAUAAAGCCUUUCCCUCAGCCACAGACCAACAGGGUCACCUGCCUCCUGGCUGCCUCAAAUCCAAUAUGUCUCUAACGGAACUCAUCAUUGUCUUUGCCCCUCAUUGUUUUACCUUCCUUUAUCCUAUCCUGACUCUUGUAAGAGUGAGCUAACCGGUUUCCUCUCCUCUAGUCUUGCUGUCAUCAGAUCCACUCACUCCUCUAAUCUGCAUGAUCUUACAAAGUGCGAUACUGACCACCUCUGCUUUUAUUUAAAAAUUCUUCAUGGCCUCCAGAAUAAAGCCCGAGCACCUCAAGAUGGCAUUCAAGGCUCUUCCACAGUCUGGCCUUCAUUGACCUUAACGGGUUUUUCAAGGGCAUCUUCUAGAAUGAGUGCCCCCUCCAGAAUGAAAGCUUUAUGAGGUCAGGAACCUCACCUGUUCUGUAAUCCAGGGUAGCCUGGCUGGUAAAUAGAAACUACUUAAUAAAUAUUUGUUGAAUAACAAACUUAAUGAGUGCCACUAUCCGCCUCAUUUUUUAAUAUCUACUACAUAGGUUGACUUGGUUUCCCAAAAUACACUGUUGUUCACACCUUCAUACCUUUGGUCAUGCAGUUCCCUCCCCUUGGAACAUUAACCCUGCCUUUCUUUUCUUAGCUUAGUUAUCUUGUGCUGCUAUAACAGAAAUAUCACAAGUGGAUGGCUUUAACAAACAGAAAUUUGUUUUCUCACAGUUUAGGAGGCUAGAAGUCCAAAUUCAGGGCACCAGCUCUAGGGGAAGGCUUUCUUUCUCUGUCGGUUCUGAGGGAAGGGAAUUGUCUUUUUUCAGCUUCUGCUCCUUGGCCCCUUGGUGAUUUUCAAGUGGCAUGGAAUCUAUCUUGCCCUGUCUCUGUUUGUUUCUCUGCUUGCUUGCUUAAGCUGCUCUUUUAUAUCUCAAAAGAGAUUGCCUGAAGACAACUCUAUGCUAAUACUGCCUCAUUAACAUAGCAAAGAAGAUUAUAACCACAGGUAUUAAAAAAAAACAUCUCCAUCAAGUUGAUUCAGACUCAGUACAGGGGUUAGGAUUUACAACACAUAUUUUUAGGAGACACAGUUCAAUCCAUAACACUGGCUAACUCAUUCUCAUCCAUCAAGGCUUAGCUCAGGCGGUGUCUUAUAGGAAGCACUCCCUGAGCCUCCAAGUGGGUCUAACGAUUUUUUUCUCUGUGCCUCAAGAGCAUUCUAUGCCAACCUCUACCUCUUACCUCAAAUCAUAUUGAAGAACAGUGUUUGUGUCUGUCUACUCUAUUAAAUAACAAGCUCCUUGAGACCAUGUCUAGCACAGCACCUUGGACAUAGUAGUCGCUCAAAAACAAUUUGAUGGACUGAUCUCUACCAGGGCUUUGGACUGGUUUGACCCACUACUGAAAAUUGCAUUUCCAGCCCAGAUAUACUGGGAUAGAAUCUAUCUUUGACCAAGAUCCCCAGAUGAUUCUUAAGUAUACAUUAUAUAUUAUCUGGGGUGGAAAUGCAAACUCUCAGCAGGGGGUUGAACCAAAAUAACCGGUUUGAAGUCCUGAUUGUACUGAGAUUUUUUCUCAUUCUCUCAGUUCUGUGCUAGCUCUCACUUCCUCUGGGAGACCUUUCUUACUGACCAUACUGUAUUGGCCCUGCUAGAAUUUCUACAAUGUAUA